UACGUAGGGGGCAAGCGUUGUCCGGAUUUAUUGGGCGUAAAGAGCGUGUAGGCGGCCAGACAGGUCAGCUGUGAAAACUCGAGGCUCAACCUCGAGACGUCGGUUGAAACCGUCUGGCUAGAGUCCGGAAGAGGAGAGUGGAAUUCCCGGUGUAGCGGUGAAAUGCGCAGAUAUCGGGAAGAACACCCGUGGCGAAAGCGGCUCUCUGGGACGGUACUGACGCUGAGACGCGAAAGCGUGGGGAGCGAACAGG
rnacentral:rRNA from 1 species